CCUACGGGAGGCAGUAGUGGGGAAUAUUGGGCAAUGGGCGCAAGCCUGACCCAGCAACGCCGCGUGAAGGAAGAAGGCUUUCGGGUUGUAAACUUCUUUUAUCAGGGACGAAGCAAGUGACGGUACCUGAUGACUAAGCCACGGCUAACUACGUGCCCGCAGCCGCGGUAAUACGUAGGUGGCAAGCGUUAGCCGGAUUUACUGGGUGUAAAGGGCGUGUAGGCGGGGGUGCAAGUCAGUUGUGAAAACUAUGGGCUCAACCCAUAGCCUGCAUUUGAAACUGUACUUCUUGAGUGGUGGAGAGGUAAUCGGAAUUCCGGGUGUAGCGGUGAAAUGCGUAGAGAUAGGGAGGAACACCAGUGGCGAAGGCGGAUUGCUGGACAGUAACUGACGCUGAGGCGCGAAAGCGUGGGGAGCAAACAGGAUUAGAUACCCGAGUAGUC
rnacentral:rRNA from 1 species